rnacentral:rRNA from 1 species
ACGACGCUGGCGGCGUGCUUAACACAUGCAAGUCGAACGGAAGGCCCUGCUUUUGUGGGGUGCUCGAGUGGCGAACGGGUGAGUAACACGUGAGUAACCUGCCCUUGACUUUGGGAUAACUUCAGGAAACUGGGGCUAAUACCGGAUAGGAGCUCCUGCUGCAUGGUGGGGGGUUGGAAAAGUUUCGGCGGUUGGGGAUGGACUCGCGGCUUAUCAGCUUGUUGGUGGGGUAGUGGCUUACCAAGGCUUUGACGGGUAGCCGGCCUGAGAGGGUGACCGGCCACAUUGGGACUGAGAUACGGCCCAGACUCCUACGGGAGGCAGCAGUGGGGAAUAUUGCACAAUGGGCGGAAGCCUGAUGCAGCAACGCCGCGUGCGGGAUGACGGCCUUCGGGUUGUAAACCGCUUUCGCCUGUGACGAAGCGUGAGUGACGGUAAUGGGUAAAGAAGCACCGGCUAACUACGUG